rnacentral:rRNA from 1 species
AGUGAACGCUGGCGGUAGGCCUAACACAUGCAAGUCGAACGGCAGCACAGUAAGAGCUUGCUCUUACGGGUAGCGAGUGGCGGACGGGUGAGGAAUACAUCGGAAUCUACUUUUUCGUGGGGGAUAACGUAGGGAAACUUACGCUAAUACCGCAUACGACCUACGGGUGAAAGCAGGGGAUCUUCGGACCUUGCGCGAUUGAAUGAGCCGAUGUCGGAUUAGCUAGUUGGCGGGGUAAAGGCCCACCAAGGCGACGAUCCGUAGCUGGUCUGAGAGGAUGAUCAGCCACACUGGAACUGAGACACGGUCCAGACUCCUACGGGAGGCAGCAGUGGGGAAUAUUGGACAAUGGGCGCAAGCCUGAUCCAGCCAUACCGCGUGGGUGAAGAAGGCCUUCGGGUUGUAAAGCCCUUUUGUUGGGAAAGAAAAGCAGCAGGUUAAUACCCCGCUGUUCUGACGGUACCCAAAGAAUAAGCACCGGCCAACUUCGUG